rnacentral:tRNA from 1 species
GUGGGCUUGUGGCUCAGCGGUAGAGCACUCGCCUAGCACAUGUGAGGCCCUGGGUUUGAUCCUCAGCACCACA